AUGUAUAGUAGUCCCAAAGCAUUACUAUAUCUCUUCCACCUGGCCGUCCUGUACAGACGGCUGGGCCCAACAUCACGUACACCACACUUUGGCCCAGGAAGCAAUCAUCCGGCCCAUUUCAUGUUUACGCCUUCGCUGGGCCGGUUACGCGCUCUCCGUGUACCAUGUGGCCCAUCCGCCCAUGUGGCAGAGAGACAAACACCGAAACAGACAGACACGAAUCUCAACGCAGCAGCGCCACCAGCCUCCCGUCCUGCCUCCGACGCCGGCGCUGCGGCCGCCGCCGGUGACCCGCCCCUCGCCGCGGCCGGCUGCCACGACCGACCAGAUGGCCGCCGCGCCGUCGAGGUGCCUCCUCGUCACCGGCCCGCCGGUAAGGAAUCCCCAUCCCGCAAACCCCAACCGCUAAACCCUUUCUCCUUCCUUCGUCAACCGCCUCACGGCCGCCGCCGCCGCCGCCGCUCUCGCAGGGCGUGGGGAAGACGACGCUGGUUACGCGUGUGUUCGAAACCCUCCGCGAAUCCCACCCGCAUCUCAACAUUCGCGGCUUCUACACCCGCGAGGUGAGGGAGAGUGGGGAAAGGGUCGGGUUCGAGGUCGUCACGCUCGAUGGGCGAACCGGGCCGCUCGCCUCCUCCAAGGUUUCCAGCCGCGAGUCUGUUAGAUGGCCUACUGUUGGGAGGUACAAAGUAGAUAUAGCUUCUCUGGAGUCUCUAGCAUUGCCGGAGCUGCAGGUCAAGGACGACACUGAUCUUUUCAUUAUUGAUGAAGUGGGUAAAAUGGAGCUGUUUAGUUCGGCAUUCUUCCCUGCUGUAAUGAGAGUUAUUGAAUCGAACAUUCCAGUGCUAGCCACAAUUCCUGUACCAAGAUUGGGCCGAGACAUUCCCGGAGUUGCGAGGUUGAGGAAUCAUCCUGGAGCAGUUAUUUACACCUUAAAUACUGGUAAUAGGGAUGCCAUGAGAGAAGGUGUCUACAAUCAUUUGAGCAGUCUGUUGCAGAAAAGGAAUGCUGUUAGGAUCAUGUCCCGGAGAAGAUCCAACAUGAAGAAGCAUGUCUCCUUCAAAUUAAAUAAGCUGUGCUUCAGUGUGCUGUUCAUCUUACAGCAUCAAGCCCCCACCUCUGGAUCUGAUCUCCAUCUCCAUAAGAUUCAGUCGACAUGGAUGAAACACCGGAGACAAGGAGGAGAAAACAUGGGUCCGUCCAGCCUAAUAGCCUGUUUCAGUUGGCAGUUUGGAGGAAUUAUUAUCGCUAAGCAUUUCAUGGCUUUCUCUUCUUCACCAGCAUGUAGGCAAGGCCAGCUGGGUAUGCAUGCAUUCUAGCUAGAAUGCCAAGCCAAGAAGAGAUUAAGGCAUCUCUCCCGGCAUCUGUUAAAAAUUUGCAAGAGCGAGACCCCAUUUCCACGGUGGGAGAAGCAACAGUUUCGCCGCUGAUCGGCGGCGGCCGGCCGGUGGUUGCCGGGGAGCUGCAUGCUAACUGCAGAGAGGAGGCACGAGAGGAUCCUUCGUACUGCUGGAUCUCUCUGGCAACAAGUGCCACCAUGCUGCAGUACCUGGACUUCUCUCAUGCUAGCACCUCAAGGAAGUGGUCACACAAGAAGCAGGGCGAAGGAUUUGAAGCCCCAAGGAAUAGCAUGGAGUUCACCCUGGAGGCUCCACAAAGCUAUGGCGUCUUCCAAGAGGAUGUCCCGUACUCCUGCAACAUGAGGCAACAAUACCCAAAAGCUGGUCUCAACCACAGCUCAUCCCCAAUCAAGAGGAUCAUCCAUGAGGACGUAUCCUUCAGAACAAAUGAAGUUCAGAAGAGACCAAGUGUCAUUGCCAGGUUGAUGGGCAUGGACUCACCUCCAAUGAGUACAACCGCCGGUGAGCUUGCCGCCGGCCACACGGAGGAGAAAAGGCAAGACAUGAUAACCUCCACAAGGCCAAUGCCAAGAAGAGAUCCUUCUGAAAUGGUCUCAACCAAGCAUGUCUCCUUCGUGCAACACAAGGGCUCCAUGAAGCAUUCGCCGAAGCAAGCUGAGGUCUGUGCCUACGACGACAGCAUGGAGCUCUUUGGUCAGCUGAGCAAGGCGAUCAGCAGCAGUGAAUGGGCUAAACCGCAGCCGCGAGAGCACCCGCAGGAGGAGGAGCUGCAGAAGUUCAAGAAGGAUUUCGAGGCGUGGCAGGCGAGCAGGAUGUGGGAGCAGUCGAGAGCUCUGGAAUUGGAGAGCCAUCUCGACGACGAUGACGUCAGGUGCACUGACAUCGUGCCUUACAGGUUCCAGCACAGAGGGAAGGAUAAUGCCGGCAAGAAGCACACGCACUCCAAUGGCGACGCACACUGGAGGAGGAGCAAGGAGAGCGGCACCGGCACCGGCACGUCGAUCUCCGGCAGCCGGACGUUCUCCCUGACGAGCGCGGACGCCAGCUCGACGCGGCUGCCGCUGUCGAGAUUCUACUACGAGGAGGAGAGGCUGCUGUCGCCGAAGAAGAUAGUGAUCCUGAAGCCCUGUCCCGAGAUGAGCACCGACGACAUCGAGGAGUCGUCGUUGGGGUCGCCGGAGAUGGUGAAGAAGGAGAACAACAUGGAGGCCUUCCUCGAGGAGGUGAAGAAGCGGCUCAAGGUCGAGCUCGAAGGGAGGAUGGCUUCCGACGACAGGGCGGCGGACAGGUGGGCCGCCGGCGGCGACAUUCCGGCUGACCCGAAGCAGAUUGCUCGGAGCAUCGCCAACCAGAUCAGGGAGACCGUCACCAAGGACCUGCACUCGGCGUUGCUCCGGUCGGAGUCGACGCGGUCGUACCGCAGCGACAUCCCGCUCAAUGGCCAGAGCCAGAUGGACUACAUCUGCAGAGAUGCCAGGAAGCACCUCUCCGACAGGCUGAAGAAUGUGCUCCGACGAGAGCCGGAGACCGAGCCGCCGGCACUGUCUCACCGGAGAAGAACCGCCUCGGCGUCGUUCAACGAAGAGCCGAGGCCGAAGCCGAGGCAUGAGGUGGCAAGGAAGGGCAAGAUAAGGAGCAAGGAGGAGAAGAAGCACGCGAUCGAGUUCGACGUCAGGUCUUUCAGACGUGGCCACCACAAGGCGUCACCAACUCCGGCGAUCGACUCCGACCCGGUAUCGCCGAGGAACCUCAUCAGGUCGUUCUCGGCGCCGGUGUCGGGGACCACUUUCGUGAAGCUUCUCUCGGAGGAGCCGCGGGUGCUGACCGGAGCACGGCUGCAGCGCAAGCAGGAAGGCUACGGGAGCAGGCCGCCACCGCCAUCGUCGGAGGAGGAGAGGAAGGGGAGGAAGGACACGUUCAACAUCAAGGGCAGGGUGUCCAACCUGAGGCAGAAUCUGGGGCUGAGAGCGAAGCUGUUCGGCAAGAAGCUCCACUCCGCCGACGAGUCGCCAUUCCCCGAUGAUCUCCCUCCGAUCGGAACGCUGGUCACCGCCCCUUCCGUCCUCAUCCACCCCGGCGUCCUCCAGGAGAACUCCACCGAGGUGCCGCCGAGCCCGGCGUCGUGGUGCAGUAGCCCUCCUGAUGAGAUGAGCAGGGGAGGUUACCCGAGCCCUGUCUCGCCAUUGGAGGCUUCGUUCAGCGAGCACCGAUCUCCCUUGAAGAUGGCGGCUAGGGACAUGAGUUCGAGUGCUUCUGAACCAGAGCAUCCAUCGUCGGAGCAAGCUCAAACCGAUCAAGAACUCGCAGAAACAAGUCCAAUCCAGGACGACGACGACGACGACACAGACGAGAUAGAUAACCCCAUCAAAGCUUACAUCAGAGCAAUUCUUGUCAUCGCCGGUCUGUACGGACAGAGACGAAGCUCUGACCAACUCUUCUCAGACCGCGAGGUGAAACCGAUCCCCGCGUGGGUGUUCGAGGAAGUCGAGUCGUCGUCGUCCUCCUCAGCCCCGGCCACCACCGACUGCGACGCUGCGGCCACCGGCGUCGACCACCGCCUCCUCUUCGACCUGAUCAACGAGUCGCUGCCGCGGGUCGUCCAGUCGUCGACGACGCUGUGCGCGUUCAGCAGGUGGUACGGCGCGGCGCCGAGGAGAUCCCCCGGCGGCAAGAGGCUACUGGACGGGCUGUGGAACACCGUGCAGGCGUGGCUGGCGCCACCGCCGCCGACGGACUCGCCCAACUCCGUGGACGAGCUGAUCGGCCGCGACAUGAGCAUGUCGCCGUGGAACGGCCCGUUCCGCGAGGACGUCGGCGCGGCCGGCGCAGAGAUGGAGGCGGAGAUACUGGACGAGCUCGUCGACGAGACGCUCUGGGACGUGCUGCUCAACGUCGGCGACUGAUUGACUGACUGAUCGGUCUCGUGGAUCAACUCCUUGAGUAUACCUGUACAUUUUGGGGCGUGUUUUUUUUUUUCGUUUUGUUUAACUCUGCUUUUCAGAGUGCUUGCUGGGUUUGUGGCAAGGUGGUGUUGGUGAGUGCAAAAUGUCCGUAAGCUUUGUGUGUUGAAGGAUACUGAAUUUGUCAUCACAAAUGCAUAAGGAAGCUUAAAAAGGAGUGAAGAAAAAAUAAAUCGACUGUAGUUGCAUAUGCAGCUUCAUUUGCA